UAUGGUGGAUGCCUUGGCAUGGAAAGGCGAUGAAGGACGCGGUAUGACUGCGAUAAGCUUCGGGGAGACGUCAAACAGUCUUUGAUCCGAAGAUUUCCGAAUGGGGAAACCCCUCAAGGCUCAAAACCUUGAGAGCUCCUUGUUUAACUACUUGGAGUAGCGAACCCGCUGAAGUGAAACCUCUCAGUAAGCGGAGGAAAAGAGAAAAUAAUUUAUUCCCUUAGUAGCGGCGAGCGAAGAGGGAAAAGCCCAAACCUGCGGACAUCACAUUGCAUGUGAUGUCGCGAGUUAAAAGUCCAAAGUUAAAAGUUUAAAGUGAAUUCAGAAAUGCAUUUACUUUUUACAUUUAACUUUUAACUUUAUACUUGCGGAUAUCGCGUGUAGCGUGAUGUCCGUGGGGGUUGCAGGGCAGAUGCGUUGUAGAGUUACAAAUUGUGAAGUUAGCUGAACUUCUCUGGAAAGAGAGGCCAUAGCGAGUGAUAGCCUCGUAAGCGAAAAUUUCACAGCUCGAGCAUUUGUUCCUAAGUACUGCGGGGAAUGAAAGCCCUGUAGGAAGCUUCCAAUACUACUUGGAAAGGCUAAAUACUAAUCCAUGACCGAUAGUGAACUAGUACCGUGAGGGAAAGGUGAAAAGCAGCCCGGCGAGGGCGAUGAAAUAAACCUGAAACCAUAUACUUACAAGGAAUCGGAGCCUGCGCAUAGCACAGAAUAUCUAAUUUCAAAUUUUCAAUUCUUAAAUAAUUUCUAAUUUUCUAAUUUUUAAAAACUCAGAAUCAAAUUUUGAGUUUUGGAAAUUUAGUCAUUGGAUUUUGUUUGGAAAUUAAAAAUUAAGAAUUGGAAAUUCCGCGCUGUGUGUGGGUGACGGUGUGCCUCUUGGAGAAUGAGCCAACGACUUUAUGUAUGUCGCUUGUCUAAUCCGCCUUGGCGGAGUAGGCGCAGGGAAACCGAGUCUGAAUAGGGCGAACGCGCAUAGCACAGAAUGUCUAAUUUUAAAUGUUUAAUUCUUAAAUAAUUUUUAAUUUCUUAAUUUUUGAAAAUUCAGAAUCAAGUUUUGAUUUUUAGAAAUUUAGUCAGCGAGAUUUAUUUGGAAAUUAGGAUUUGGAAAUUGGGAAUUCCGCGCUGUGCGCGGUAGGCGGCAUGUAUAAGACCCGAAGCCGGAGCGAGCUACCCAUGACCAGGAUGAAUUUCACCGAAAGGUGAAAGGAGGUCCGAACCCGUUAGUCGUGCAAUGCUAUGGGAUGAGUUGUGGGUAGAAGUGAAAAGCUAAUCGAGCCCGGUGAUAGCUGGUUCUCCCCGAAAUAGUUUUCGGACUAGCCUCGUUUUUAUAGAUGAUUGGGGGUAGAGCACUGGAUGGUUUUGCCUGGCGCAAGCUAGCAACACCAAUCAAACUCCGAAUACCGAUCAUUGUUGAACGGGAGUCAGACUGUGGGGGCUAAGCUUCAUAGUCAAAAGGAGAAGAGUCCUAAUCGCCAUUUAAGGUCCCAAAAUGCAAGCUAAGUGUACAAGGUUGUGAGAUUUCUCAAACAGCAAGGAGGUUGGCUUAGAAGCAGCCAUCCUUUAAAGAGUGCGUAACAGCUCACUUGUCGAGAGAUCUUGCGCCGGAAAUGUUCGGGGCUAAGCUUGCUACCGAAAAUGCGAAUGUGCGGACAUCACAUUGCAUGUGAUGUCGCGAGUUAAAAGUCCAAAGUUAAAAGUUUAAAGUGAAUUCAGAAAUGCAUUUACUCUCGACUUUUAAUAUUUAACUUUAUACUUGCGGAUAUCGCGUGUAGCGUGAUGUCCGUACGUGGUAGGGGAGCGUUUGUAUCUGCAGUGAAGGUCGACCCGCGAGGGCGGCUGGAGCGAUACGAAGUGAGAAUGUUGGCAUAAGUAACCGCAAGACAGGUUAAAUUCCUGUCCGCCGUAAACCUAAGGUUUCCUUGGCAAUGACAAUCAGCCAAGGGUUAGGCAACCCUAAGGCAAUCCCGAGAGGGGCAGCCGAUGGAUAGCCGGUUAAUAUUCCGGCCCUUUGUUAAUAUUUGAUGGGAGGUCGUAACACAGUAAGCUGAGCAUCUUAUUGGAUUGAUGUUCCUGGCUUAAGGAUGCUUUCUUGGCAAAUCCGGAAAGCUUUCGCAGCAAUGCGAAAAAUCUAAGAGCAGGGAAAAUUUUGGAGCAAUCUGAAAAAUUCAGCCGAGCGCGUUACCAAGAAAUUCUCUCUAAAAUUAGUAUUAACGAAUCUGUACCGUAAACCGACACAGGUAGGUGAGGCGAGUAGCCUCAGGCGAAUGGGUGAGUGAUCCUCAAGGAACUAGGCAAAAAAGCUACCCGUAAGUUUGCAAGAUGGGUUCCCUAUUGCCGUACCUCACUGCGUUUGGUAUGGAAUGUUUAAUUUUAGAUUUCUAAUUUUUUAAAAUUCAAAAAUUUUUAUUUUUGGUUUUGAAAUUUAAUCAUUGAGAUUUAUUUGGAAAUUAGAAAUUGAAAAUUGGAAAUUCCGUCCGAGCAUAGCGAGGUGCGGCGAUAGGGCGCAGCUAAAGAUAUCUGGGGACUGUUUAUCAAAAACACAACUCCCUGCUAACUCGCAAGAGGAUGUAUAGGGGGUGACGCUUGUCCAGUGCUGGAACGUUAACGGUCAAUGUCUUAGAAAUUCGUUUUUAAGGCUGCGGCCCGAAGCGCCAGUGAACGACCGCGGUAACUAGUUAAAGUAGCGAAAUUCCUUGUCGGGUAAGUUCCGACGCGCAUGAAAAGCGUAACUACCGGAUAACUGUCUCGAGGAUCAGCCCGGUGAAAUUGCAAGGCAGGUGAAGAUGCCUGCUUCCUGCACUUAGACGAAAAGACCCCGGAAGCUUCACUGCAACUUGUUAUUGUGUUUAGAUUUUUGCUGCGUAGUGUAGUGGGUAGACUUUGAAGUUGUGUUUUCGGACAUAAUGGAGUCAACAAUGAAACACCCAUCUUCAAAAAUUUAAAUUCUAACCUUUACGGAAAAAACGUAUUGGGACAGUGGCUGGUGGGCAGUUUUGGUGGGGCGCUAGCCUCCCAAAAGGUAACGGAGGCGUUCAUUAAGGUCAGCUAGGCACGGAUGGAAAUCGUGCUGGUAGUGUAAAGGCACAAGCUGGCUUAACUGCAAGACCUACAAGUCGCGCAGAUGCGAAAGCAGGACUUAGUGAACCGAUCAUUCUUUGUAGAACGGUGAGAGAUCAUCGGAUAAAAGCUACUCCGGGGAUAACAGGCUGGUUUGGUCCAAGAGUUCUUAUCGACG
rnacentral:rRNA from 1 species